rnacentral:rRNA from 1 species
GGGCAGCGGGGUUGUAGCAAUACAACUGCCGGCGACCGGCGCACGGGUGAGUAACACGUAUGUAACCUGCCCUCUGCAGGGGGAUAAGCGGAAGAAAUUCCGUCUAAUACCGCAUAAUACAAUUUGGAGACAUCUCCGGGUUGUCAAAGGAGUGAUCCGGCAGAGGAUGGACAUGCGGCGCAUUAGCUAGUCGGCGGGGUAACGGCCCACCGAGGCUACGAUGCGUAGGGGUUCUGAGAGGAAGGUCCCCCACACUGGUACUGAGACACGGACCAGACUCCUACGGGAGGCAGCAGUGAGGAAUAUUGGUCAAUGGGCGGAAGCCUGAACCAGCCAAGUCGCGUGAGGGAAGACGGUCCUAUGGAUUGUAAACCUCUUUUGCAGGGAAGCAAGGCGCGGUACGUGUACCGCGAAGGAGAGUACCCUGAGAAAAAGCAUCGGCUAACUCCGUGCCAGCAGCCGCGGUAAUACGGAGGAUGCGAGCGUUAUCCGGAUUUAUUGGGUUUAAAGGGUGCGCAGGCGGACUGUUAAGUCAGCGGUAAAAUGUCGGUGCUCAACACCGGCCGGCCGUUGAAACUGGCAGCCUUGAGUGAGCGAGAAGUAUGCGGAAUGCGUGGUGUAGCGGUGAAAUGCAUAGAUAUCACGCAAAACUCCGAUUG